GAUGCCAAGAAAGAAUAUUUAACACGUAUGAGCCAGCAGUAUUUUGUCAGUGGUAACGCGCAAACUGUCAAAGACAUUUCCUAAAGACAUGAUGGCUUGAAAAGACAAGAAACUGAAGGGCUGCAUUUAUACACAACGAACGCUGAAAGACUCCAGUAAAAAAGAUUUUACAUCCUACAUUUAAAAUGGUCGUUUCAUUGUCAGUCUCUGUUGUUGAGGAUGUUAAUUGUUGUUGAAAGUCCUCGACUCUAAGUAUAAGCUUUAAUUUUAAAAAACAAUAGUGCGGAGAAGCAAAAAUUAUCAAAAAAGACAUUGCAAUAAUCUUAUGCUUCACAAACAAAUCCAUGAAUUGUAGACUUCUCGAAAAAUAGAAAUAAUGCAUGUUUGUAGCUAUCGCUAAGGUUGUCGAAAUGCCCGUUAACAUCAACACCGACAGUCCUUUAAAGGCUCCACUAACUUGGGUAAUCUACACCUAAAAAACAUGUAACGAUGCAGUGAACUUCUUGAGCUACAGAAAUGAUGAAAAUAUACAUCUCAUUUUUCAACUGAAA